rnacentral:lncRNA from 10 species
GGAUUAGGGUGCUGCAGGAGAUGAUGCAGGGAGGUGGACAUAUUAGAGGAGUGGUAACUUUGUGAGACAAGCCUCAAAUUUUACCACUGUACCAAGAAAUGAAAGCCAGAAUGUGGAAUUGGAGCUGGUAAUGACGACGUCAGGACAGGUUCAAAGGAAGCCCAUCACUUGAGUAAAAAUUUAUAGCCCUGCUUGUGCUGUGCUGUGCUGUGCUGUGAGUUUCAGUUCCGGGCCAGCAAAAGAUUUAUCAAAGGAAAGCAACAAGGUGUGUGGAAAUAGAAGGUAAGAAAAAUUAAUUUCAGAGAGGAAAAUAAAGUUGCUUGAGGGGCUCUUCAAUGACCAAAGGCCAUAAGAGACUGGAAGGCAAAAGGACCCAUUAAUGUAAUCCAAACAUCAGUCUCCUGCAGCAAAGAGGUGAAUGGAGAAGGGUGGAGAGUAGCUGUGGACGAGUGAAAAAGACAUCGCACCAUGUCUUCAAAUUACAUCCAGCAACUUCAUAUGAACUAUGAAACCCUUGUUGCCACAAUAGUCCCUCUUUGUUUGAACUACUACAAGAAUAAAGAAAUUUCUUUCUAAUCUUUUGCAGAAGAAUUACAUAGACUCUCACUUACUGCUCUUGUUUCAUAGGUGGCUGAUUUUCCAAUUAUAUUAAAUACUUUUGGAAGGGCUGGGACUACAUCUAAUUUCUUGAAAAGUCUGGUGCUGUGGAAGACCAAGACCCAGACUGUUGAGGUCAGCCUAAUGUAAUGUGAAAUAUCUAAACUCUGCGUACUUCUUUACCAUGAGUGUAUAGAUAAAAUAUCAUUGCAUUUAAGGAAAUUGCUUAAAGCCUCACAGUGAAUAAAGUUGACAAAACAUGUAGACUUAUUGCAGAUUUUAUGCAUUUAGGUUUUAUGGCUUCAUUUGCAAUCAGGACUCCCCUCCCCUCCCUUCCUCCCUUCCUUCCCUUCCCUUCCCUGUCCUUCUUUCUUUCCUUUCCUUCCCCUUCCUUCCUUCUCCUCGUCCUGUUU